GGUCCCGUCGUCUAGUGGUUAGGACUUCGGAUUCUCAUUCCGGCAACAGGGGUUCGAUUCCCCUCGGGAUCACCA
rnacentral:tRNA from 1 species